rnacentral:rRNA from 1 species
UACGAAGGGGGCUAGCGUUGUUCGGAUUUACUGGGCGUAAAGCGCACGUAGGCGGAUCUUUAAGUCAGAGGUGAAAUCCCAAGGCUCAACCUUGGAACUGCCUUUGAUACUGGGUAUCUUGAGUUCGGAAGAGGUGAGUGGAAUUGCGAGUGUAGAGGUGAAAUUCGUAGAUAUUCGCAGGAACACCAGUGGCGAAGGCGGCUCACUGGUCCGAUACUGACGCUGAGGUGCGAAAGCGUGGGGAGCAAACAGGG